GACGAACGCUGGCGGCGUGCCUAAUACAUGCAAGUCGAGCGAAGCGGCGGAUGGGUGAGUAACGCGUGGGUAACCUGCCCUUAAGUCUGGGAUACCAUUUGGAAACAGAUGCUAAUACCGGAUACUAAAGGAUGGACCUGCGAUGCAUUAGCUAGUAGGUAAGGUAACGGUUUACCAAGGCGAUGAUGCAUAGCCGGGUUGAGAGACUGAUCGGCCACCUUGUGACUAGGACACGGCCCAAAACCCUACGGAGGGCAGCAGUAGGGAAUCUUCCACAAUGGACGAAAGUCUGAUGGAGCAACGCCGGGUGAGUGAAGAAGGUGUUCGGAUCGUAAAGCUCUGUUGUUGGUGAGGCGUGAAUACACCAGAAAGUCACGGCUAACUACGUGCCAGCAGCCGCGGUAAUA
rnacentral:rRNA from 1 species